UUAAAAAAAUAGGUAUUUUGCAUUUUUAAUGUUUAAGUUAAAUUGUGUGAUUUUCUUUUAAUUCGAUAUUUAGGUAUUUUGCAUUGAACUCUUAUAAGAACUUGAAUUGAAACUGUGUUGAUCAAUUGUUUGGACUACACUUCCGUUAAAAAUGCUUGGGACAUAAUAAUAUUAGUUAAUAAACACUAAGUUAGUGAGAUUGUAAAAAGGGAAAGACAACUAGUAGUGAAGACAACACUUGCUGAUUUUAAGGGUUAAAGAUAGUAUAGUUAAUUGUUCACUAAGGCUUAAAAUAAAAAUAAAAAAAAGAUUUGAAAGCUUAUAAGACACAGAGACCCUUCCUCAAAAAGGGAGGAGCGGCGAUUCCGAUUUUGGCUCUUCUUCCUCAUUUUCUCGUGGGCAUCAGGAGAGAACCAGAAAAAAAAAACAAUCCUCUCUCACUCCUAAGAACGACCAGACCUCUCUCACUCCCUCCCCAUUUUCUUUUUCUCACUCACACACGCAAAGUCAUAACAAAAAUAGUUAAAAUUUCUGAGUUCAAGCUUUACACUCUAGAUUUAAAAAAAAUACAUCUAAAGAAAGAGUAAAAUAAGAGUGGUCUCAAUUUCUGCUGCACUACCUUGUGAUUUCUGAGAUUUUGAGCUAUCUUUUGGGCUUGGAAUUGAAGCCGCUCUUGCUGGGUUUGUUGUGGCUGAACAUUGGCUGGACUAGUAGUUGAUUCUUCAUACCUAGUUUCUCUUUGACCUUUAUUUGGUCGUGGAUUCUCUGUUUGAUUUCAAGUUACUAGAUUUUGAAAGAGAAUAUGGCUUCUUUGGGGCAGCUCCUUCAAGUCAUUUUUCCUUUAAAAAAUGGUGUAUAUUAUACUGAUACAUGGGGUGAAAAUGAUCACUCCUUUAAUUACCUCCCUUGGUCUCUACUCUUGUUUAACUCUUGAAAUUGUUGUCGAAGGCACAAUACUUAAAUAAGUAAAGGUG